rnacentral:RNase_P_RNA from 1 species
GCAGGCGCACUCUUGCCGCUAAUUGCGCCGAGGAAAGUCCGGACUCCACAGGGCAAGGUGGUGGGUAACGCCCACUCGGGGUGACCCGCAGGAAAGUGCAACAGAGAGUAGACCGCCAAGCAAUUGGUAAGGGUGAAAGGGUGGUGUAAGAGACCACCAGCGAUGAUGGCGACAUUGUCGGCUAGGUAAACCCCACCUGGAGCAAGGUCAUAUAGAGAGCGUUUGAGAUCGGCCCGGUCGAGCUCUCGGGUAGACCGCACGACUUCGUUGGCAACAACGAGGCUAGAUAGAUGGUGACCCAUCCGAUACUCGCGAGAGUGCGGGGGACAGGAUCCGGCUUAUAGGGCGACUCUUCUU